AAAAUCACUUGAACUUGCAUACACCACACAUACCGAGUCAAAUAUUCACUGUUAGUAUUGAUGUUAUAACAUGUUCUUACAAAGAUGCAAAUUGGACUAGUGAUUUCACAAAUUGCCACCAGCGCGAGUUGAGCUGAGUUGCUAAUUAACGAACGACGACGAGCACAAUGGCCAUCUAGGAAACAAACUAGUAGUAGUGCGUAGGGUAAAUUUCCCAAAUGCGUAAUUUAUUCGGCCCCAAACUUGAGAUGCUGCUUAUAACAUUAGUUCAGGAAGACAAGUACGUUGAAUUGCAGGACCUCUCCUCUUCUCCUUUCUGAAGAAACAAUUACGUUGAAUUGCGGUACAGUGGGCAACCGGAGAAAGGAGACCAAGAGAAGGGGAGAGAAGAGAAGUUCUUACAUUUUGUCCAUGGCAUUGGAGCAGCGGUGUCCCGAGAAGGGAAGAAGGAAGCACACGGAGCACCUGCGCAUGAGGAAACCGCAUCAGCGAGGGGAGCGGCCAAAUCGAAACCACCCAACACCAAUAGUUUAUGCAUGAGGACCUCUCUCUCUCUCCUCUUCUCAUCUCUGAAGAAAUAAUUACUUGUUGCGGAGGUACAGUAAGCAACCGGAGAAAGGAGAGGAACGGAGGGUGAGGGGAGAGAAGAGAAGUGCUUACAUUUGUCCACGGCGUCGGAGCAGCAGUGUCCCGGGAAGGGAAGAAGAAAGCACACGAAACAC
rnacentral:lncRNA from 1 species